rnacentral:rRNA from 1 species
AUGGCUCAGGAUGAACGCUAGCGGCAGGCUUAACACAUGCAAGUCGAGGGCAUCGGGAGUAGCAAUACUUGCCGGCGACCGGCGCAAGGGUGCGUAACGCGUGAGCAACAUGCCCGUAUCAGGGGGAUAAUCCAUGGAAACGUGGUCUAAUACCCCAUAGUAAUUAUGUAAGGCAUCUUAUAUAAUUUAAAGCUUUGGUGGAUACGGAUUGGCUCGCGUGACAUUAGCUGGAUGGUAAGGUAACGGCUUACCAUGGCUACGAUGUCUAGGGGUUCUGAGAGGAAGGUCCCCCCACACUGGAACUGAGACACGGUCCAGACUCCUACGGGAGGCAGCAGUGAGGAAUAUUGGACAAUGGAUGGAAAUCUGAUCCAGCCAUGCCGCGUGCAAGGAAGACGGCCCUAUGGGUUGUAAACUGCUUUUGUAUGGGAGCAAUAAGGGCUACGUGUAGUUCGAUGAGAGUACCAUACGAAUAAGCACCGGCUAACUCCGUGCCAGCCGCCGC